GACGAACGCUGGCGGCGUGCUUAACACAUGCAAGUCGAACGGUGAAGCGCCUUCCUUUUUGGUGGGUGUGGAUGAGUGGCGAACGGGUGAGUAACACGUGAGUAACCUGCCCCCUUCUUCUGGAUAACCGCAUGAAAGUGUGGCUAAUACGGGAUAUUCUGGGUCUGUCGCAUGAUGGGUCUGGGAAAGAUGUUGUUUCGGUGGGGGAUGGGCUCGCGGCCUAUCAGCUUGUUGGUGGGGUGAUGGCCUACCAAGGCGGUGACGGGUAGCCGGCCUGAGAGGGUGGACGGUCACACUGGGACUGAGACACGGUCCAGACUCCUAAGGGAGGCAGAAGUGGAGAAGAUUGCACAAUGGGCGCAAGCCUGAUGCAGCGACGACGCGUGAGGGAUGGAGGCCUUCGGGGUGUGAACCUCUUUCGCCAGUGAAGCAGGCCUGCCUCGUUUGUGGGUGGGUUGACGGUAGCUGGAUAAGAAGCGCCGGCUAACUACGUG
rnacentral:rRNA from 1 species